rnacentral:rRNA from 1 species
UACGUAGGGUGCAAGCGUUGUCCGGAAUUAUUGGGCGUAAAGAGCUCGUAGGCGGUUCGUCACGUCGGCUGUGAAAUCCCGAGGCUCAACCUCGGGUCUGCAGUCGAUACGGGCGGACUUGAGUACUGCAGGGGAGACUGGAAUUCCUGGUGUAGCGGUGAAAUGCGCAGAUAUCAGGAGGAACACCGAUGGCGAAGGCAGGUCUCUGGGCCACUACUGACGCUGAGAAGCGAAAGCAUGGGGAGCGAACAGG